rnacentral:rRNA from 1 species
UACGGAGGAUGCAAGCGUUAUCCGGAUUUAUUGGGUUUAAAGGGUGCGUAGGCUGUUACUGUAAGUCAGUGGUGAAAUGUACAAGCUUAACUUGUAAACUGCCAUUGAUACUGCAGAGCUAGAAUGAGGUUGCUGUUGGCGGAAUGUGUAGUGUAGCGGUGAAAUGCAUAGAUAUUACACAGAACACCAAUUGCGAAGGCAGCUAACAAAACCUCAAUUGACGCUGAGGCACGAAAGUGUGGGGAUCAAACAGG